GAUGAACGCUGGCGGCGUGCCUAACACACGCAAGUCGAGCGAUUCUCUUCGGAGAAGAGCGGCGGACGGGUGAGUAACGCGUGGGUAACCUGCCCUGUACACACGGAUAACAUACCGAAAGGUAUGCUAAUACGGGAUAACAUAAGAAAUUCGCAUGUUUUUCUUAUCAAAGCUCCGGCGGUACAGGAUGGACCCGCGUCUGAUUAGCUAGUUGGUGAGGUAACGGCGCACCAAGGCGACGAUCAGUAGCCGGCCUGAGAGGGUGAUCGGCCACAUUGGAACUGAGACACGGGCCAAACUCCUACGGGAGGCAGCAGUGGGGAAUAUUGCACAAUGAGCGAAAGCCUGAUGCAGCAACGCCGCGUGAGCGAUGAAGGCCUUCGGGUCGUAAAGCUCUGUCCUCAAGGAAGAUAAUGACGGUACUUGAGGAGGAAGCCCCGGCUAACUACGUGCCAGCCGCCGCGGUAA
rnacentral:rRNA from 1 species